GAAGAAGAAGCCUCCGCCGCACCCACGGCCCUAACAACGGUGUCGGGAUAACCCGCACCCCUCUCCCGCAUGGAGCCGCCGCCCACCCAGCACAGCCGCUCCCCGCCCUUCCCCAACAUGGCCCCGCCCCGCUCAGUGUGCCGCUCGCAGGCCGGCGGGCUCGGCGCUUGGGUGACGCCAUCGCGCAGGGCCGGUCUCCAUGGGAACCGGAGGCGCGGGCGGCGGGAGCGCGGCAGGCCGCGACCGCUGGGAGUGACCCCCGAUCCCCCCAGGGACCGCCGGGCCCUCUCCGGUCCCGGCAUGUUCGCGGACAGGACGGAACCCGGUGCCGACGUGCAGUCGCUGUGGAGGAGCGCCCGGAGCGCGCGCUGCGAGGUGAAAACUUGCCAGACUGGGAAAAUUUCAACAGCAGAAGCUGCAGUGCAGUCUCAUACAGCCCGAGACACUGCGGUGCAGACAGAACUGAGCAAAGAUGCUGUCCAAGACUUCCAGCAAGAAGUCCAAGUAGAUUACACUGGGCUUCUGUCAUUCCUUCAGAGAGUGGAGGAUGCUGUUAUCAAAGAGCUAAAUAAAAACUGGAAAAGUCAUGCCUUUGAUGGCUUUGAAGUGAACUGGACAGAUCAGGAUGAAACAGUGUUGUGUUUGCAUACCUUGUCAUACCCAGAGGCUCAGGAUCAAAACCUGCAGGUCACCAGUGUUUCAUGGAAUGCCACAGGAUCUGUCAUUGCAUGUUCCUAUGGCCGGUUUGAUGAUGGGGACUGGAGCACAGAAAAAUCCUAUGUUUGUACCUGGAAUCUGGACAGAAGAGGGUUGAAUCCACAGCACCCUGACCUGGUGGUGGAUGUUCCCAGUUCUGUCAUGUGCCUGGCUUUCCAUCCCUCCCAACCAUCACUGAUAGCUGGUGGCCUGUUCAGUGGGGAGUUGGUGGUGUGGGACACCAGCAGGACAGAAGACCCUGUGAUCUGGAGGACAGGAAUGACAGAUGACACCCACACUGACCCAGUCUAUCAGGUUAACUGGUUACCUGACACCAAGCACAGAAACCACUCCCGGCUGUUGAGUGUGGCAACAGAUGGUAAGAUCCUCGUGUGGAGGGAGGAGCGGGAUGGGCGGCUGGCCUUGGCUGAAGGAUUUGCCAUCGUGGCUCAGCAGAUCCCUCGCAGCACUCGGCUGAAGAAGAUGGCCUGGGGAGAGGCAGCCGUGGGGGUGACCUCGCUGUCCUUCUCACACUUCGAUCCUGGUGUGUUUGUUGUGGGCGUGGAAGGCGGGUAUUCCCUGAGGUGCUCCACUGCAGCCCAGACUCCGGCUCUCCUGCGGCCGGGUGGCUCCGUUCCCCUCAGGGCACCGGCAGAACUCGCCUUCUCCCCUCAUGCUGGACCUGUGUACUCUGUGAGCUGCUCGCCCUUCCACAGGAACCUCUUCCUGAGCUGUGGGACCGAUGGCCAAGUUCACUUCCACUCCAUGUUGCAGACACAGCCCCUCUUUGCUCUGCAGUUAUCCAAGGAAUACCUGUUCUGUGUAUGCUGGUCUCCAGUUCGACCACUGGUUUUUGCAGCUGCGUCUGGGGAAGGAGAGGUGCACCUGUUUGACCUGGCGAGGAGCAUUCAGAAACCCACUGUGUCCCUGAAGCAGUCCAUGAGCGACUGCCCCGUGUAUUGUUUGGAAUUUAACACCAAGCACACGCGGCUCCUGGCAGCAGGGGAUGCUGCUGGGACAGUCAAAGUCUGGCAGCUGAGCUCUGACUUCACUGAGCAGGGACCAAAGGAAAUGAGUUACCUGGAGCAGCUGGCAAGUGAGAUCAUGGACUAAGGCAGCAGCACAACAGCUAUGUGAAGCUUGUAACUGCAAUGACUCCAGGAACAGUUCCUCACUCACCUGUUCCAGCAUUGGCCUGGAAAACUCAGGGGAUCUCCUGGCAGGGUCAGAACUGAGCCCCAGUGACAUGAGCCUCCAAGCCACUAGUGCUGGGCUUCAUCUAUGAACAAAAGUCUUGUGUGUUCCUCCCUGGGGGUUGACAACCAGCACUUACCUGGUAGAGCUCCUCCUUGGUCACGUAGGGCUUCCCCUCGGAGCUGAGGGCACGGAAAGCGCUCUCGAUCUCCUCGCUGGAUUUCACGUUCUCUGUUUCCCGGCUAAUCAUGAAGGCCAUGUACUCCUGCAGCGAGACGUGUCCAUCCCUGCCAGCGAAACACAGUGUGAGCACCCAGAGCACAGCACUACCAGGCAGAGAGGGCCUGGAACUGUUCUGGAAGGAGUGGAAGUCUUAACGCAGGAGACUCAACACCAGAUCAUUCUCUGAAUUUCUUCUUUACAAAUGACAGUCUUGCCUUCCUAAAAGCUUUCACGUGAGUCAUUGUAAAAAUAACCACAGCUCUCAGCCUGUGAAGGACCUUCCAGCCAACACCUCUGUGUAUUUUACAGUACAAGAAAGGUCCAACCCACGUACCUGUUGGGAUCUACAGUGUCAAGAAUAGACUCAAACUCAGGGUCUGGCUCUCCUUCCUCAACCAUGGGCAGAUCGUAGCCGAGAGAGCGCAAGCAAGACUUAAACUCCUGGUGAUUAAGUCGUCCAGAUUUGUCCUUGUCAAAGUGCC